UUUUUUGGUCUUUGCCCUCUCAUCCCUCUCUAGGGUUUCUGAGUUCAUGGUCAUUUUUGUGGCAUGGAGAAGAGAAGCUAAAUCUGUGUUGCUCCGACCAUUGAUUUCGUGCAAUCUUUAUCCUGUGGUUGUUGCUUGGGUUCGAAUGGUUUUGCUUCUGCGGUACUUCAUUCUAAAGUCUACAGAAUAGGAGGAGGGAACUAAAAGAUAGAUAGAUAUUCAGCUGGCUGAAGCUGCACAAAGGACUUGGGUUUGAUGAUCGUAACGUCUGUAGGGAGAAUUUUGACCAUGGCGAGAGGCAAAGUUCAGAUGAGGCGAAUCGAGAACACGGCGAGCCGGCAAGUCACCUUCUCGAAGCGCCGGAGCGGGCUGCUGAAGAAAGCUUACGAGCUCUCGGUCCUCUGCGACGCCGAAGUCGGCGUGAUCAUCUUUUCGCAGAAAGGAAGGCUUUAUGAGUUCUCGAGCAGUUCCGAAAUCCAAAAUACAAUUGAUCGGUAUCGUAGAUCUUCAAAUGAUGCGGAUACAUACAAGGCUAAUAUGGAACAGUAUCUUCUGCAUUUGAAGCAAGAAACCACGGAUAUGGAGAGGAAGAUUGAGCUUCUUGAAGUUUCACUACGGAAGCUGUCAGGACAAUGUCUUGGAUCUUGUUCAACUGAUGAAAUCCAAAUGAUAGGGGAUCAGCUCGAGCGAAGUUUGGGCGGCAUUAGGGCAAGAAAGGCUCAAUUAUUCAACGAUAAGAUACAGCAGUUACAAGAAAAGGUAAGUAGAGGAAUUCGAAGAAUGCGUGUCAGAUCUCGUCAGACAUUGUUAUAUUCCUGGUUAUAUAAAUCUAGCAACUUUGUUUGGUGUAAUUCAGGAGAGGUCUCUGAAAGAAGAGAAUGCAAAGCUUCUUGCAAAGUGCUAUGCAAAUCCUUGGCAGUCAACAGCUUAUCCGAGAGUAGCAGCAAUAGAUAGCCAGAGCAGCCGGAGUGAAGAUGUUGAGACCGGGUUGUCCAUUGGACUGCCGGAAAGUCUGAUUCGCCAUCACCCGGCACAAGUCUAGUAAUACCUGUUCAAUAGUGUAUAAGUAAGAAUAGCGAAGGCAAAGAAAGAUCGGAUCAGAAAUGAGCCAUGACAAGGACACAUACUCAAAGGAAGAAUCAGCGGAGCAAAGGAAAUAAUUUGCCCGCACCUUGGGCUUCACAUUUGAAUCACACGACAGCUGAUUCCAAGAAAGACACAUAUCUGUUGAGCAUAUUUUCGAGCAACUUGCGUGCAUUUAAACAUCAGUGGACCCCUCCUUAAGGUUGGCUAAGCCAAAAGAUGUCAAUCCAUCACCCCUCCAUGAUUUUCUUCAACGUUGGUGCAUGAAGACAAAUGGGUCAGGGUAUCUGAACUAUUCUGGAUUCAAAAUUUGUCAUUUUGCAGAAUGAGGCUAUCUAGUAGACUUGUAUUCCAUCCCAAACAACGAGGUCCAACUUUUUGCACCCUGACAGAAGUUAAGCUUACACGUGAAUUCGCGAGUGAUGACAUGUUUCCUA